AAAUUUUGAACAUCAUAGAAGCCACCCACAGGAGGUAUUCUACACUGUCACACUUGCACCACGUCAUCAAUAACAAGCCAAUCACAUUCCUUCUUUUCAAACAAAAGUACAAUAAAAAUAUUUUUUUACAAUCAUGAUGGGACAUAUAUUCUUAAAAGGAUUAAUUUGAUUGAUUUGUUACGUCACAUCACUAAUAUACCCGUUGCAUUCUAGAAUUUUUCCACCCACAGGG
rnacentral:lncRNA from 1 species